rnacentral:misc_RNA from 1 species
UUUCCGUAGGUGAACCUGCGGAAGGAUCAUUAAAAAAAUUGGACUCCAUUGGUGAGUUCAUUAAUAAUCCUACCCUUUGUGAAUUUGUUUGUUUGAAUAAUUUUUUUUCCAAAAAAAAUUAUUGAAUGUCUUUCCCUGUUUUGGUGGAGCUUGUAAAGUGAAACCAGGCAGGGGAAUGGCAAACAAUAAUUAUUUUUGAAAAAGACCUUUUUUAAAAUUAAACUUUUUGUAUUCAUUUGUCUAAAAUUAUUUUUAUAAUAUAAAAACAACUUUUGACAAUGGAUCUCUUGGUUCUCGCAACGAUGAAGAACGCAGCAAAAUGCGAUAAGUAGUGUGAAUUGCAGAAUACGUGAAUCAUCGAAUCUUCGAACGCAUAUUGCACUUUUUUAGUUUACUAAAAAAGUAUGUCUGUUUGAGUAUCAGUAAAAUAUUCUCAUAAAAAAUUUAUUUUUUAUGGUUAUGAGUGUUUUACAACGAUAACAAGUUGUUUCACUUUAAAUUCUUUGUUAUCAAAAAAAUCAUUAAAAGCUAAUUUUAAAGAUUUUUUAAAAUUGGAUAAAAUUUUCCCGUAAAAAGGAAUAACCUAAACAAUUCUAAAAAAUUAAAAUUGGUUUGAUUUUUCUUGAUUUAAAAAGGAAAAAAAAGUAAAAAUUAACUUGAUCUCAAAUCAGAUAAGAGUACCCGCUGAACUUAAGCAUAUCAAUAAGCGGAGGAAAAGAAACUAACUAGGAUUCCCUCAGUAACGGCGAGUGAAGCGGGAAGAGCUCAAAUUUGAAAUCUUCAAGGUUCUACCUUGACGAAUUGUAGUUUAAAGAAGUGUUUUCUGUUGGAGUUUUGGUAAAAGUUCUUUGGAAAAGGACAUCAUAGAGGGUGAGAAUCCCGUAUUUGACCAUUAUCUCCAGCUUUGUGAUACACUUUCAAAGAGUCGGAUUGUUUGGGAAUGCAGUCCAAAAUGGGUGGUAAAUUUCAUCUAAAGCUAAAUACUGGCGAGAGACCGAUAGCGAACAAGUACCGUGAGGGAAAGAUGAAAAGAACUUUGAAAAGAGAGUUAAACAGUACGUGAAAUUGUCAAAAGGGAAGCGUUUGACACCAGUGUUGUUUUCUCGAAAAUCAAUUAAAAAAGGCCGGAUUUUGUGUUGUAUUGACUUUAUCAGCUUUCUGCACUUUUUUCUUGUCUUUUUUAAUGCACUUUUCGUUUAACAAGUCAACAUCAAUUUCUUUUGUUGUAAAAGGGUCAUUGGAAGGUGGCUUUCUUUUCGGAGAAAGUGUUUAUAGCCUUUGGCCUCUGCAAUCGGAGAGAUUGAGGUUUGCAGCGUAGAUCCUUCGGGGUUAGAUACAUUUGUGCUAAGUUAUAGCCUUUCAUAGACAACUUGUUGACUAUGAUCAGUCAUGUAGCUUACUCGCUUAUGCUAUUU